rnacentral:siRNA from 1 species
ACUGCAUGGUCGCCUCUGCGA